rnacentral:rRNA from 1 species
AUGCACAUUGUGGAUGAGUUACUCGCCAUGUUCAGUCUGGACGACGCAGCGUCAGAAUCGCCACCAGAUUCGCUGAUCUCUGACGAAGAAAAUUUGUGCACCAUCUCCUGCCAAGCUGAAGAUGGUUCAUCUGCUCCGGGUGUUCUCCAACUCCAAGCCUGGGUGCAAGGGCAUGAAGUUCUGCUUCUGGUUGACUCCGGCAGCUCCACCUCCUUUGUGGACAGCUCUUUCGCCUCCAAGCUCUCGGGGAUCACUCUGUUGCCACGACCAUGCCGUGUGCGCGUUGUCGACGGCGCCACCAUUCCUUGCACUCACUUUAUUCCUCCAGGAGGAUGA